rnacentral:tRNA from 1 species
GGGGGUAUAACUCAAUGGUAGAGUGUUUGCCUAGUUAAGAGGCCCUGGGUUAGACCCCCAGUAUCACCA